rnacentral:rRNA from 1 species
UACGUAGGGGGCUAGCGUUGUCCGGAUUUAUUGGGCGUAAAGAGCGUGUAGGCGGCCAGGUAGGUCUGGUGUGAAAACUCGAGGCUUAACCUCGAGAUGUCAUCGGAAACCAUCUGGCUAGAGUCCGGAAGAGGAGAGUGGGAUUCCUGGUGUAGCGGUGAAAUGCGCAGAUAUCAGGAAGAACACCAAUGGCGAAAGCAGCUCUCUGGGACGGUACUGACGCUGAGACGCGAAAGCGUGGGGAGCGAACAGG